UACUAGUAAGCUUAAGCAAGUGACGUUUUUGACAACACGAGCGGCAGUAACGUCAGAAGAUGGGGUCAAGGGCGUCCGUGUUGUCAAAAACGUCACUUACUUAAGCUCACUAAUA